UUUAACGGCCGCGGUAUCUUGACCGUGCAAAGGUAGCGCAAUCACUUGUUUUUUAAAUGAAGACCCGUAUGAAUGGCUUAACGAAGGCUUAACUGUCUCCUUUUUCUAAUCAAUGAAAUUGAUCUCCCCGUGCAGAAGCGGGGAUAAAUCCAUAAGACGAGAAGACCCUGUGGAGCUUAAAACAACAGACAGCCCAUAUUAAUAAACCCUACUUAAUUGGAAUAAAUACUUGACUUUCUGUCCUUAUGUUUUUGGUUGGGGUGACCACGGGGUAGAAAAAAACCCCCGUUCAGCGUGAAUACCUUUCUCACAACCCAGAACUACAGUUCUAAGCAACAGAACUUCUGACUAAAGUGAUCCGGCAACGCCGAUCAACGAACCAAGUUACCCCAGGGAUAACAGCGCAAUCCUCUCCUAGAGCCCCUAUCAACGAGAGGGUUUACGACCUCGAUGUUGGAUCAGGACAUCCUAAUGGUGCAGCCGCUAUUAAGGGUUUGUUUGUUCAACAAUUAAAGUCCU
rnacentral:rRNA from 1 species